GCAGACUCACUCUGCACCCAGCCGCAGCCCCAGGCGGGUGCUUUUUCCGUCUGCCACAGGAACUUGCGGGGGCUGUGACCUCUGCCCUGUUACGGGCAGCACAGCUACCCCGGUACACGGGU
rnacentral:snoRNA from 8 species